rnacentral:rRNA from 1 species
AGAGUGAACGCUGGCGGUAGGCCUAACACAUGCAAGUCGAACGGCAGCACAGUAGGAGCUUGCUCUUACGGGUGGCGAGUGGCGGACGGGUGAGGAAUACAUCGGAAUCUACCUUUUGGUGGGGGAUAACGUAGGGAAACUUACGCUAAUACCGCAUACGCCCUUCGGGGGAAAGCCGGGGACCAGCAAUGGCCUGGUGCUGAUAGAUGAGCCGAUGUCGGAUUAGCGUAGUUGGUGAGGUAAUGGCUCACCAAGGCGACGAUCCGUAGCUGGUCUGAGAGAUGAUCGAGCCACACGUAGGAACUGACGACCGACGGUCCAGACCUCCUGGCCGGGAGCAGCAGGUGGGAAUAGUGAACAAGUGGCGCAAGCCUGACUCC